rnacentral:misc_RNA from 1 species
GAUGAAGAACGCAGUGAAAUGCGAUAAGUAAUGUGAAUUGCAGAAUUCAGUGAAUCAUCGAAUCUUUGAACGCACAUUGCGCCCGGCAGCAAUCUGCCGGGCAUGCCUGUCCGAGCGUCAUUUCUUCCCUCGAGCGCGGCUAGCCCUACGGGGCCUGCCGUCGCCCGGUGUUGGGGCUCUACGGGUGGGGCUCGUCCCCCCCGCAGUCCCCGAAAUGUAGUGGCGGUCCAGCCGCGGCGCCCCCUGCGUAGUAGAUCCUACAUCUCGCAUCGGGUCCCGGCGAAGGCCAGCCGUCGAACCUUUUAUUUCAUGGUUUGACCUCGGAUCAGGUAGGGUUACCCGCUGAACUUAAGCAUAUCAAUAAGCGGAGGA